AUGCAGGCGGCGGCCUCUUACCGGGGCGCGGCAGCCCACCGCCGCGCUGGCCACCCAUCCCCGCGCCCUCCAGGCCCCUCUCUUCUUCUACCCGUCCGCGUCGCCGGCGUCGGCGGUCUCUGCGGUGAGCCCCUCGUACUCUUAACGCUCCCGAUUCUACCAUAUGUAUGCCACUUUGAUAGCCUCGCGUCGAUUUGCUCAUGCCGGCGUCUCCAUGUGGGAGCAGACGCGGCGGUUCCGCUCCGAGUCGGCUCCCUGCCCCUUCCGCGGGCUCGCGGCGGCGGCGAUUUCGCGCACCUGGAUGCCAAGCAUGGUGAGGCGUGGCAGCUGACGCGCGCGCUCGGGCUAAUCCUUCCUGAUCACCAGAAAAUGGCGCAUGCUAACCUGCUGAAAACUGCUGUUCUUUCAACAAUGUCGAUGCUCAUAAUGCCUCUUGAGGCAUCAGCGGAGACAUGUCAACCAACUAGUUCUUUUGCCAAUAUGCCGAUUUUCAUUGCCGUCGCUCUAAUAGGAGCUGCCGUGGGUGGAUUAUUAGCACGGCAAAGAAAGGACGAACUGAAGCGAUUGAACAAUCAACUCCGUCAGAUUAAUACCGCUCUUAGAAGGCAGGCACAGAUUGAAUCGUUUGCCCCCGGCCUUACUUAUGCGCCUGUAGGGAGAGCAGGAGAAAUUGCGGUUAUUGUUGAUCCCAGGAAGCAGCAGUUGGUGGUAAACUUGAAAAAUGGGAAGAAUUAUAUGAGGAAUCAGGAACUUGAUAAGGCAGUAAUGGAGUUCAAGACAGCUCUGGAGCUUGCAGAAAGCAUAGGGGAUCGCUUUGAGGAGAAGAAAGCUGCGCGAGGACUAGGCGCAUCACUGCAAAGGUUGGGACAGUACAGAGAAGCAAUGAGCUGGUAUUACAAGGUCCUGGCGCUAUCAAAGGAGACGGGCGAGGAUUCUGGCUGCACCGAGGCCUACGGCGCGAUAGCCGAUUGCUGCGCUGAUCUCGGCGAUUUGGAGGGAGCAGCGAAGUUGUACGACGAGUACAUAUCAAGGUUGCAGCCCCACGAUUGA
rnacentral:rRNA from 1 species